ACGAUGAAGAGUUUGAUCCUGGCUCAGGAUGAACGCUAGCGGCAGGCCUAACACAUGCAAGUCGAGGGGUAUAUUGAGCUUGCUUAAUAGAGACCGGCGCACGGGUGAGUAACGCGUAUGCAACCUACCUUCUACAGGGGAAUAGCCCGAAGAAAUUCGGAUUAAUGCUCCAUGGUUUAAUUGAAUGGCAUCGUUUAAUUAAUAAAGAUUUAUCGGUAGAAGAUGGGCAUGCGUAUCAUUAGCUAGUUGGUGUGGUAACGGCAUACCAAGGCGACGAUGAUUAGGGGUCCUGAGAGGGAGAUCCCCCACACUGGUACUGAGACA
rnacentral:rRNA from 1 species